rnacentral:rRNA from 1 species
GAGGAAUAUUGGUCAAUGGGCGAGAGCCUGAACCAGCCAAGUAGCGUGCAGGAUGACGGCCCUAUGGGUUGUAAACUGCUUUUGUAUGGGGAUAAAGUUAGGGACGUGUCCCUAUUCGCAGGUACCAUACGAAUAAGGACCGGCUAAUUCCGUGCCAGCAGCCGCGGUAAUACGGAAGGUCCUGGCGUUAUCCGGAUUUAUUGGGUUUAAAGGGAGCGUAGGCUGGAGAUUAAGUGUGUUGUGAAAUGUAGACGCUCAACGUCUGAAUUGCAGCGCAUACUGGUUUCCUUGAGUACGCACAACGUUGGCGGAAUUCGUCGUGUAGCGGUGAAAUGCUUAGAUAUGACGAAGAACUCCGAUUGCGAAGGCAGCUGACGGGAGCGCAACUGACGCUUAAGCUCGAAGGUGCGGGUAUCAAACAGGAUUAGAUACCCUGGUAGUCCGCACAGUAAACGAUGGAUGCCCGCUGUUGGUACCUGGUAUCAGCGGCUAAGCGAAAGCAUUAAGCAUCCCACCUGGGGAGUACGCCGGCAACGGUG